GGGGCGGUGAAACUUGGUAGACACACCGACUUGCCGAGUCGGCACUGAAAAGCGUGCGGGUUCGACUGCCGUCCCCCACCA
rnacentral:tRNA from 1 species